AUUGAACGCUGGCGGCAGGCCUAACACAUGCAAGUCGAGCGGUAGAGAGGUGCUUGCAUCUCUUGAGAGCGGCGGACGGGUGAGUAAUGCCUAGGAAUCUGCCUAGUGGUGGGGGAUAAACGUUCGGAAACGGACGCUAAUACCGCAUACGUCCUACGGGAGAAAGCGGGGGAUCUUCGGACCUCGCGCCAUUAGAUGAGCCUAGGUCGGAUUAGCUAGUUGGUGAGGUAAUGGCUCACCAAGGCGACGAUCCGUAACUGGUCUGAGAGGAUGAUCAGUCACACUGGAACUGAGACACGGUCCAGACUCCUACGGGAGGCAGCAGUGGGGAAUAUUGGACAAUGGGCGAAAGCCUGAUCCAGCCAUGCCGCGUGUGUGAAGAAAGGUCUUUCGGAUUGUAAAGCACUUUAAGUUGGGAGGAAGAAGC
rnacentral:rRNA from 1 species